rnacentral:rRNA from 1 species
GAUGAACGCUGGCGGCGUGCCUAAUACAUGCAAGUCGAGCGAACAGACGAGGAGCUUGCUCCUCUGACGUUAGCGGCGGACGGGUGAGUAACACGUGGAUAACCUACCUAUAAGACUGGGAUAACUUCGGGAAACCGGAGCUAAUACCGGAUAAUAUAUUGAACCGCAUGGUUCAAUAGUGAAAGACGGUUUUGCUGUCACUUAUAGAUGGAUCCGCGCCGCAUUAGCUAGUUGGUAAGGUAACGGCUUACCAAGGCAACGAUGCGUAGCCGACCUGAGAGGGUGAUCGGCCACACUGGAACUGAGACACGGUACAGACUCCUACGGGAGGCAGCAGUAGGGAAUCUUCCGCAAUGGGCGAAAGCCUGACGGAGCAACGCCGCGUGGGUGAUGAAGGUCUUCGGAUCGUAAAACUCUGUUAUUGGGGAAGAACAAAUGUGUAAGUAACUAUGCACGUCUUGACGGUACCUAAACAGAAAGCCACGGCUAACUACGUG